UACGUAGGGGGCGAGCGUUGUCCGGAAUUAUUGGGCGUAAAGAGCUCGUAGGCGGUUCGGCAAGUCACGUGUGAAAUCUCCACGCUCAACGUGGAGGCGCCACGUGAGACUGCUGUGACUCGAGUCCGGUAGGGGAGCGUGGAAUUCCCGGUGUAGCGGUGAAAUGCGCAGAGAUCGGGAGGAACACCCGUAGCGAAGGCGGCGCUCUGGGCCGGUACUGGCGCUGAGGAGCGAAAGCGUGGGGAGCGAACAGG
rnacentral:rRNA from 1 species